rnacentral:rRNA from 1 species
CCUACGAGCGGCAGCAGUGAGGAAUAUUGGUCAAUGGGCGGAAGCCUGAACCAGCCAAGUCGCGUGAGGGAUUAAUGCCCUGCGGGUCGUAAACCUCUUUUGCCGGGGAGCAGAGGUCCGGACGUGUCCGGGCCGGGGUAGUACCCGGAGAAAAAGCAUCGGCUAACUCCGUGCCAGCGGCCGCGGUAAUACGGAGGAUGGGAGCGUUCUCCGGAUUCAUGGGGUUAAAAGGGUGCGUAGGCGGGCAUUUAAGCCGGCGGUCAAAUGUCGGGGCUCAACCCAGGCCUGCCGGCGUAACUGGGGGCCUUGAGUGGGCGAGAAGUAUGCGGAAUGCGUGGUGUAGCGGUGAAAUGCAUAGAUAUCACGCAGAACCCCGAUUGCGAAGGCAGCAUACCGGCGCCCUACUGACGCUGAGGCACGAAAGUGCGGGUAUCGAACAGGAUUAGAUACCCGGGUAGUC